UUUCGAUGGUAGUGUAUUGGACCAUUUUUGUGCUGAACGAAGAGGCCUUCUACCGGAACAUCGAGGAAGCCUUUGACUUCGUGACGAACCACGACCUGCUGCUGACCAUGGGCGUGGAGCCCACCCGACCGGAGCCAGGCUAUGGCUACAUCCAGAAGGGCGAGCCCCUGGAGGAGCAGGACUUCUACCAGGUGAAGUCGUUCACGGAGAAGCCAGAGCGCGAGUUUGCACAGAUGUUCAUGGACAGCGGCGAGUUUCUGUGGAACACAGGACUCAUCUUCUCGAACGCCCGCUAUUUGAACCAUUGCUUCCGCAGGCUGUUCCCGGACGUGCUGGAACACAUAGACAUCCAUCUGGAGAAGUACACCAUCGAACAGGAGAUGGCAUUUGUCAACGAGCACUAUCCGUCGUACCCCAACCUGAGCAUCGACCGGGGUGUGCUGGAGCGCUGCGAGCACGUGUGCGUGAUGAAGUGCGACUUCGGAUGGGCCGACCUGGGUACGUGGCACUCCAUCUACGAGUGCAAGAGCCAGACGGCAGACGACAAUGUGGUGAUAGACUCGGAGGUGAUGAUGGAGAACUCGCACAACAAUGUGAUCAAGCUGCCCAAGGGGCGGCUGGGUGUCAUCAGCGGGCUGGAGGGUUACAUCGUGGCUGAGGAGGACAAUGUGCUGCUCAUCUGCAAAAAGGGUGACUCGUCAGCGCUGGUGCGGAAGUAUGUGAACGAGGUCCAAAUGAAGUACGGAGAAGAGUACGUGUGAGCAAGGCGGCGAAGCCGCGGUUCAAGGUUCAAGGUUCAAUGCGGCUUUGCCCCUUAGAACCGAUAGUGGAGCUGGAGGAGGAGGUCGGUGAUGGAGGAGCGGCUGACUUGCUGGAGGCCAGUGGAGAUAACAGCACGAUCAAAGUAGUUGGUCGUGCCCAUUUUUGCUGUCAACUGGAAACGGCCCAGGUCAGCACGUGCCAUGAGGGAGUAGCGCAGGCCAUGACCGUCAUACAUCGGGAAGGAGAAGUCGUAACAAG
rnacentral:rRNA from 1 species